CCUACGGGGGGCUGCAGUGGGGAAUAUUGGACAAUGGGGGCAACCCUGAUCCAGCCAUGCCGCGUGUGUGAAGAAGGCCCUCGGGUUGUAAAGCACUUUCAGUGAGGAAGAACGCCUGGUGGUUAAUACCCAUCAGGAAAGACAUCACUCACAGAAGAAGCACCGGCUAACUCCGUGCCAGCAGCCGCGGUAAUACGGAGGGUGCGAGCGUUAAUCGGAAUUACUGGGCGUAAAGCGCGCGUAGGUGGCUUGAUAAGCCGGUUGUGAAAGCCCCGGGCUCAACCUGGGAACGGCAUCCGGAACUGUCAAGCUAGAGUGCAGGAGAGGAAGGUAGAAUUCCCGGUGUAGCGGUGAAAUGUGUAGAGAUCGGGAGGAAUACCAGUGGCGAAGGCGGCCUUCUGGACUGACACUGACACUGAGGUGCGAAAGCGUGGGUAGCAAACAGGAUUAGAUACCCCUGUAGUC
rnacentral:rRNA from 1 species